rnacentral:lncRNA from 1 species
ACAUGAUAUAUGCGAUCAUUCUUGGAUGAAAUUAAUAUUACUUUAAUAUUACACUUUUUGAAACCAUUUUUAUCAAUUUUCAAUUUCGUGUGUUGUUUCAGUAUAUGUUAUGUUUCAUUGCUCAUGUGUUGUUUUCGUAUAUUUUAGCCGCUCGUCGUGAGCCUGCUCAUUUGAUCCAAUAACACCCCAUAUAGCAAUAAAAUUAUACUUUUAUUGCCAUUCAUAACUCUUAACAGACCAAUUAACAGACCGGGUUUUAUACAUCCGACCCAUUAACAGACCAGG